UAGGUAUGCAUGCAUGGGAAAAAAACAUAGUAGAUACAGUCAAUGAGGGAUUCGGUACUAUCAGCGGUUUCAAGCAUCCUCUGGAGGUCUUGGAAGAAUUUGAAAAGGUCCUCCCACUUGGCUGUUUGAGAUCUUGUUAAAGUUAUUGCCCUGAACCAGCUGACAAGAGAGGAACAAAUUUAGUGAGAGACAGAGAGAGAUUUGCUAUUAAGUCAAAAUACAGAGUACUGUAGAGGAAAAUCUUCCUUGGGAGACAACAUACUCUUCAAAAGAAAACCACCAAUGAUUAAUAAUUUUUACCGAAUGAAAGCUACAGACUUCUUAUUAUACGGUGGACUACAGGGAGUGAUAUAAUUCUUGGAUGUCAUGUGAAAUGCGAAGCCAUUUUUUCUGGAACUGAUGUUCCCAGUUCUCUACUAAGCACAGUAGCUACCUUUUCUGCACUGGAGGAUCAUCCAGCAGGAAUAACCUUAUCAAUUACUGUAAGUCAGCAUCUUUCCCCCAGAGUUUGAGCAAGCUGUUCUCUACAAUUUGUACCGGUGGCCCAGGACUAAAUCCCGAAUCCAUUUCCAAGCCUAAGCAUGUCACAUGCUGUAGCAGUGAAAGACAUGGUGCUGCAGUAAGCAAAGACGCAGGCUCUGCAAGGAGAGCUUUGCUGGCUGCCCAGAAACCCCACACGAUGGAGAAAGGCCAAGACACAAAGAAUGAAAAUGAGCAGAGAAGGGAAAAAUAGCUCCUACUCUCUUGGGCCCAAGAUGUUUUACCCUGGAAAGAUUAAGUGACAGAUUUUGCCAGCAUUUAUUUCACUUCUAUUUAU